rnacentral:tRNA from 1 species
GCCUGGGUGGCUCAGUCGGUUAAGCGGCCGACUUUGGCUCGGGUCGUGAUUGCAUAGUUUGUGGGUUCAAGCCCGCAUCGGGCU